CACGUAGGGCGCAAGCGUUGUCCGGAAUUAUUGGGCGUAAAGGGCGCGUAGGCGGCGCGAUAAGUCAAAGGUGAAAUCCCUCGGCUCAACUGAGGAACUGCCUUUGAGACUGUCGAGCUUGAGGCCGGGAGGGGGUAGCGGAAUUCCCAGUGUAGCGGUGAAAUGCGUAGAUAUUGGGAGGAACACCAGUGGCGAAGGCGGCUACCUGGACCGGUACUGACGCUGAUGCGCGAAAGCGUGGGGAGCAAACAGG
rnacentral:rRNA from 1 species